CAGUCGCCGCGGUAAUACGAAGGGGGCUAGCGCUGUUCGGAUUUACUGGGCGUAAAGGGUGCGUAGGCGGACUGAUAAGUCAGGGGUGAAAUCCCAAGGCUCAACCUUGGAACUGCCUUUGAUACUGUUAGUCUUGAGUUCGAGAGAGGUGAGUGGAACCGCGAGUGUAGAGGUGAAAUUCGUAGAUAUUCGCAAGAGCACCAGUGGCGAAGGCGACUCUCUGGUCUGUAACUGACGCUGAGGAGCGAAAGCGUGGGGAGCGAACAGGAUUAGAUACCCCUGUAGUCCCUGUCUCUUAUAC
rnacentral:rRNA from 1 species